rnacentral:pre_miRNA from 1 species
AGUGGGAUAGCUGGGUCAAAAGGUGGUUUCAUUCCAAGUUUUCAAAGGAAUCUGCAUACUGCUUUCCAGAUUGGUUGCACCAAUUUGCAGUCUCACCAGCAAU